AUUAAAUGCGAUGUUCGAUCAUUUAUUUAUCCAUGGUACGGUCAAUUUGAAUAAUUAUUGUUAAUAAUUGUUAUAAAUUGCUCAUUUUAUUGUUCUUUGUGGAUUGUAACCAUACACUCUGUACAUGGCUUUAGUUCUUAGCUUUGAUUUUACAGAGGUAUGCCAUUACAUUUGUCAAGUUAUUUGAACAGACAUGCAUGAUUAUUGUGUGUAUAUUAUUAUUAUUAUUUUUCAGGAUGACAUGAUCAGGAGGUGGUGGUGUUCUGUUCUCCUGGACAGCUUCACUCCGCAAAUGUAUGUAGCUGUUUGAAUGUUGCUACAUGAAACAUUACUCUGUACUAUAUCUAGCAAUAUACCUACCUCUUGACAUUUGUUCUUUUAGAGCUCAACCACUGAGGGAAGGAACUUCACCAUACAAAAGACAAUGUCUUCAGGCAGAGUCCAGCAAAGCAGCUUCCCCUGGAAAUCCUCAGUGAAGUUAUUUUGUCAGCGGGUGACUGCAUAUUUGACACUUUCUCUGGUUUGCAGAUGGUUCAGGGAUGUGCUCACUCAAGUUUUUCGGAAAGCGGCACACUUUGCCUGGCUAAACAGUAAGAUUUCCCCCUGUUUAAUGCUCAUUCACCAAUUACAUUUUGUAGUACGAGGCUGUUAAACCUUUUUUUAUUAUUAUUAUUAUCUUUCCUGUAUUUUGUCUUUACACUAUAAGUUGUGGCCAACUGGAAGAAUUGUCCUCCUGUCUCCCGGAAAGAGUUCAGAUGGAUGUACAGCAUCAGGGAAUGCUUGCAGUGCAGAGCCCUUUUCAAGUUUAACCCAUCAGGGUACAGGGAAAAGGCCGGCGUGGUGAUCUUCUGGGCUUUUGUUUACACAGGAUUUUGUUCCAAGGACUGUUUUUUUUUUUUUUUUUUUUGCGGCACGAAACACAUUUGUGUUAAGUUCAUUGAAGGGAAAUAGAGAAUGAACUGAGAUCAACUGGUUUUGAUGUAUUGAUGUAAUUUAAAGUUAAACUUUGCAGUGUAUGAUGUUUUAAUAAAAAAGCAAUGGCAAACACGUGCAUGACAACAGGUUUCAGUCAUUUACAUCAGUCUAUCAUUCUUUAAGGUUUCUCAUAUUUGAUGGUAACAUCAUUUGCUAUGCAUUGCUCAUAACGAAUUCUUAAUUUAGUUGUGGCAAUUUGGUGUAAUGUUUCAAAAUUCACACACAAAUGCAGUGAAGUUCACAGACCGCAAGCAGUUUGUAAAUCAAGAUAUAUGUGUGUGUGCAUUAGAAAUACAUUUGUGAAUCUUGUCCUGUGCAUUUGUGAAUCUUGAGUGCAUUUGUAAAUGUUGUUUGCAUUUCUGAAUUGUGCGUGUAUUUCUGAAUAUUGUGUGCAUUUCUGAAUUUUGUAUGCAUUUGUGAAUCUUCUUUGCUUUUUAAAUUUUGUGUUUGCAUUUGUGAAUUUUGUGCGCAUUUGUGUAUCCUGUGUGUGUAUUUAUGGAUUAUGUGUGUGCAUGUAUGAAUCCUAUGUGUGCGUAUGUGAAUGUAGUGUGUGCAUAUAUCUUUAUUGAGACUCUUUUUGUAUUCCAGGACCUACUCAUUGUUGAAAUCAUACUCUAGAUUUAAUACUGUCACAUGGAAUUGAUGUUGAUAGUGUUGAUAUUAUGCAGCCAAAUGAUGAUAUCUCAGAUCAUUAUUAAUUAGUUUUGUGCAAAACUUCAUGUAGCCAAAAUUUUAAAUUCUACUUCUUGUUAGAAGUAUGUUAGAACCAUCAGAUCCGAUAACUUUUCUUCUCUUUUACUGGCCCCCCAACUAAGCCUGGUUUCUCACAAGGUUUUUUUCUCCAUUCUGUCACCGAUGGAGUUUCGGUUCGGCUACAGCGAUAUUCUUGACUUGAUUGCACUAUUUAAACUGAACAGAGAUGACUUCACUGAAUUCAAUGAUGAACUGCCUUGAACUGUCAUUUUGCAUUAUUGACACACUGUUUUCCUAAUGAAUGUUGUUUAGUUGCUUUGACACAAUGUAUUUUGUUUAAAACGCUAUAUAAAUAAAGGUGACGACUUGAC
rnacentral:lncRNA from 1 species